GCAUAUCAAUAAGCGGAGGAAAAAAAACCCAACAGGGGAUUGCCCCUAGUAACGGCGAGUGAAGCGGCAACAGCUCAAAUUUGAAAUCUGGCCCUAGCGGUCCGAGUUGUAAUUUGUAGAGGAUGCUUUUGGUGAGGUGCCUUCCGAGUUCCCUGGAACGGGACGCCGGAGAGGGUGAGAGCCCCGUACGGUUGGACGCCAAACCUCUGUAUAGCUCCUUCGACGAGUCGAGUAGUUUGGGAAUGCUGCUCUAAAUGGGAGGUAAAUUUCUUCUAAAGCUAAAUACCGGCCAGAGACCGAUAGCGCACAAGUAGAGUGAUCGAAAGAUGAAAAGCACUUUGAAAAGAGGGUUAAAUAGCACGUGAAAUUGUUGAAAGGGAAGCGUUUGCGACCAGACUUUUUCCAGGCGGAUCAUCCGGCGUUCUCGCCGGUGCACUCCGCCUGGUUGAGGCCAGCAUCGGUUUCCUUAGGGGGAUAAAGGCCUGGGGAACGUAGCUCCUUCGGGAGUGUUAUAGCCCCUGGCGUAAUACCCCUCGGGGGACCGAGGAACGCGCUCUGCAAGGAUGCUGGCGUAAUGGUCGUCAACGACCCGUCUUGAAACACGGACCAAGGAGUCGAACAUUUGUGCGAGUGUUUGGGUGUCAAACCCUCACGCGUAAUGAAAGUGAACGGAGGUGAGAGCCCUUACGGGUGCAUCAUCGACCGAUCCUGAUGUCUUCGGAUGGAUUUGAGUAAGAGCAUAACUGUUCGGACCCGAAAGAUGGUGAACUAUGCGUGGAUAGGGUGAAGCCAGAGGAAACUCUGGUGGAGGCUCGCAGCGGUUCUGACGUGCAAAUCGAUCGUCAAAUCUGCGUCAUGGGGUGGAAGAGACUUAUCGAAACCAUCUAAUUAGCUGGUUACCGCGAC
rnacentral:rRNA from 1 species